rnacentral:rRNA from 1 species
ACUCCUACGGGAGGCAGCAGUGGGAAUAUUGCACAAUGGGCGCAAGCCUGAUGCAGCCAUGCCGCGUGUGUGAAGAAGGGCCUUCGGGUUGAUAAGCACUUUCAGUUGUGAGGAAAGGUUAGUCGCUAAUAUCGGCCUAGCUGUUGACGUUAGCAACAGAAGAAGCACCGGCUAACUCCGUGCCAGCAGCCGCGGUAAUACGGAGGGUGCGAGCGUUAAUCGGAAUUACUGGGCGUAAAGCGCGUGUAGGUGGCUUG